AACUUUCAACAACGGAUCUCUUGGUUCUCGCAUCGAUGAAGAACGCAGCGAAAUGCGAUAAGUAGUGUGAAUUGCAGAAUUCAGUGAAUCAUCGAAUCUUUGAACGCACAUUGCGCCUCAUGGUAUCCCAUGGGGCAUGCCUUCCGGAGCG
rnacentral:rRNA from 1 species